GUCGUGGAGUGUGUUUGCGAGGGGGGUCAUAAAGAAAUGGCGAUGGUGGGGGUCAUGACGAAAAGUAACCGACGAGACGGAUAAUAACGUUAUAAUGCGUGCGUGUAUUAUAACAAUAUAUUAUUUUAUUAUUAUUAUUAUUAUUUAAUUUUUCAAUUUAGUUUUUGCCCUACGCAACAUACAUGCGCUGCCAUCUGUCGAUAGACCCCUGCGACUGAUCAGUCGUCUGGCUAUAUAGGUGUUAAACGGGCAUGGGUUUGCGACGCCGUGCCGCACCGCCGAUUACCUGUUGCUGCUCUCGGAAAACGCGCAAACUUCGGCGUUCCGUUUAGGCAACCGGACAAACGGAAUUAUUUCCAAACGACACCGACCUAGCGACGGUUUUCGAGAUGAUGAUGUCACUCGAUAGUCGAUAGUCGAAACUCGAUAGUCUUCGAAUAAUUAGUGUAAUCAUUCCAUAUUUUCUAAAAUGUCAACGUAAAAUAUUGACCAAUUGGAAGCAGAUUCGCGGACAUGCCACUAACGAGGAAGCGAGAACUCGAACCAUCUAUCGACUGUGGAGAGCUUAAAUAUAUAUUUUAGAAUUCGUCAACCGUGGUACACAUGCGAAAAAUGUUUCAUCGAAAAUCAGACAGCCGCGAUGGACGUGGAGAAAACGACAAAUUUCCCAAGACAGCAGACCAGCGGGUAACGGAAAAUUUCACGAUAGCUGUAUACAAACCAUAUAUGGGCGGUAAUAGCGGCAAUCAUUUCGGCCAAGAUAAGACAGUGAUCGACUGCAUCCGGUUAACAACUUCACAUGAUUUCGCCGCCAGAAUAACAGACGCGUCAAGAAAAUUUUGGCCGAAACCAGUAUAGUUAAUUCACCAAAAAAUGGUCCAAGCGUACAUUCCGAGCUAUAAAGAUGAACUCUGGCCGCAUAAUUUAAAUAUUAUUACUAUUAUUCCAUUCCAUAACUUCCUAUUAAAUUUUUAUUGUUAGCAUUAAUAUAUUAAUUAAUGGUCUUUGAAAACAACCGAAUUCUAUGUCAUGUUCAAUUGGCAUAGUAUAGUAAUAUAGCAUAAUAUUGAUUACCUAUUUAAUAUAUUAUUAUCUUAUAUUUCCAGACCUUAUCAUAAAUGACACUAAAUCUUCAGUAUAUUAUUAGCGUAAUUUUUCAGAGAUCUAAAUUUUAUAUACAUGAACAUGAUACAUGCCAAUAAUUAUUUUAAUACACACAUUUUUGAUUAUGUCGUUUACUUUGAAUAAAUAUUUUCACAAAUUAGCAA